UCUUCAAUGGUCUAGUGGUGAUGAUUUCCGCUUGUCAAUAUUCGUAUUACAAGCGCGGGAGACCAGGGUUCGAUUCCCUGUUGGAGAG